UUGGUGGGGUAGUGGCCUACCAAGGCGACGACGGGUAGCCGGCCUGAGAGGGUGACCGGCCACACUGGGACUGAGACACGGCCCAGACUCCUACGGGAGGCAGCAGUGGGGAAUAUUGCGCAAUGGGCGGAAGCCUGACGCAGCGACGCCGCGUGGGGGAUGACGGCCUUCGGGUUGUAAACCUCUUUCAGCAGGGACGAAGCGAAAGUGGCGGUACCUGCAGAAGAAGCACCGGCCAACUACGUGCCAGCAGCCGCGGUAAUACGUAGGGUGCAAGCGUUGUCCGGAAUUAUUGGGCGUAAAGAGCUCGUAGGCGGUCUGUCGCGUCGGCUGUGAAAUCCCGAGGCUCAACCUCGGGUCUGCAGUCGAUACGGGCAAACUGGAGUACUGCAGGGGAGACUGGAAUUCCUGGUGUAGCGGUGAAAUGCGCAGAUAUCAGGAGGAACACCGGUGGCGAAGGCGGGUCUCUGGGCAGUAACUGACGCUGAGGAGCGAAAGCGUGGGGAGCGAACAGGAUUAGAUACCCUGGUAGUCCACGCCGUAAACGUUGGGCGCUAGGUGUGGGGCUCAUUCCACGAGUUCCGUGCCACAGCUAACGCAUUAAGCGCCCCGCCUGGGGAGUACGG
rnacentral:rRNA from 1 species